GACCUAAGGGUUAAGCUAUAUAGUUAGGUAAAAAGAUAGUUAGGCGUUAAAAAUGGUGAGUUUUAUAAUUUUUUAUAGAAAGGUAAAAUUUGAAUAUAAGGAAAUAUUUUUUGUAAAACUAUGAUGCUGAAGCUAUGAUAGUUUUGAGGGAAACUGGGAUUAGAUACCCCAUUAUUCAUAAUUGUAAAUUAAUGUAAGUUUACCAGAGUACUAUGAAUAAAUAAGAUUUAAAACUCAAAGGGCUUGGCGGUGUUUUAGACCAAUUAGGGGAACCUGUCUCUUAAUCGAUAGUCCACGAUAUACCUAGCCUUUUUUGGUAAUCAGUCUGUAUACCGUCGUUGUCAGGUAACUUUUAAAAACUAAGAAGUUAGCAUCAGUAAUAUGUGUUGAUUAAGACGUCAGAUCAAGGUGCAGCUAAUAAAAAGGAGAAGAUGGGUUACAAUUAUAAAUUUAUAAUUAUGGAUAGUUUAAUGAAAAAAGCUUUAAGGAGGACUUAAAAGUAAUGCUGUAAUAUAUAAAUGGUUUGAAUUAGGCUCUGAAACGUGC
rnacentral:rRNA from 1 species